rnacentral:rRNA from 1 species
AGAGUUUGAUCAUGGCUCAGAAUGAACGCUAGCGGGCGUGCUUAACACCAUGCAAGUCGUACGAGAACUCUUUAGCUUGCUAAAGAUAGUAAAGUGGCGCACGGGUGAGUAACGCGUGGGUAAUUUACCUCUGAAUUUGGGAUAACUCCGCGAAAGCGGGGCUAAUACCGGAUAAUAUUUCAGGAUCUUCGGGUUUUGAAAUCAAAAGUGGCCUCUACAUGUAAGCUACUGUUUGGAGAUGAGCCCGCGUACCAUUAGCUUGUUGGUAGGGUAAUGGCCUACCAAGGCUACGAUGGUUAGCUGGUCUGAGAGGAUGAUCAGCCACACUGGAACUGACACACGGUCCAGACUCCUACGGGAGGCAGCAGUGGGGAAUUUUGCGCAAUGGGGGAAACCCUGACGCAGCAACGCCGCGUGAGUGAUGAAGGCUUUCGGGUCGUAAAGCUCUGUCAAGUGGGAAGAACAUGAGAAAUGUUAAUAUCAUUUUUCACUGACGGUACCACUGAAGGAAGCACCGGCUAACUCCGUGCCAGCAGCCGCGGUAAUACGGGGGGUGCAAGCGUUAUUCGGAAUUAUUGGGCGUAAAGGGCGCGUAGGCGGUCUUUUAAGUCAGAUGUGAAAGCCCGGGGCUUAACCCCGGAAGUGCAUUUGAAACUGAAAGACUUGAGUAUGGGAGAGGGAAGUGGAAUUCCUGGUGUAGAGGUGAAAUUCGUAGAUAUCAGGAGGAACACCGGUGGCGAAGGCGACUUCCUGGACCAAUACUGACGCUGAGGCGCGAAGGCGUGGGGAGCAAACAGGAUUAGAUACCCUGGUAGUCCACGCAGUAAACGAUGAACACUAGGUGUAGCGGGUAUUGACCCCUGCUGUGCCGCAGUUAACGCAUUAAGUGUUCCGCCUGGGGAGUACGACCGCAAGGUUAAAACUCAAAUGAAUUGACGG